ACUCCUACGGGAGGCAGCAGUGGGGAAUAUUGCACAAUGGGCGCAAGCCUGAUGCAGCCAUGCCGCGUGUGUGAAGAAGGCCUUCGGGUUGUAAAGCACUUUCAGUCGUGAGGAAGGUAGUGUAGUUAAUAGCUGCAUUAUUUGACGUUAGCGACAGAAGAAGCACCGGCUAACUCCGUGCCAGCAGCCGCGGUAAUACGGAGGGUGCGAGCGUUAAUCGGAAUUACUGGGCGUAAAGCGCAUGCAGGUGGUUUGUUAAGUCAGAUGUGAAAGCCCGGGGCUCAACCUCGGAAUAGCAUUUGAAACUGGCAGACUAGAGUACUGUAGAGGGGGGUAGAAUUUCAGGUGUAGCGGUGAAAUGCGUAGAGAUCUGAAGGAAUACCGGUGGCGAAGGCGGCCCCCUGGACAGAUACUGACACUCAGAUGCGAAAGCUGGGGGAGCAAACAGGAUUAGAUACCCUGGUAGGAUAGCG
rnacentral:rRNA from 1 species